GACGUAGGGGGCGAGCGUUGUCCGGAUUUAUUGGGCGUAAAGCGCGCGCAGGCGGUUCGGAAAGUCGGGUGUGGAAAACCCGGGGCUACAACCCCGGACCUGCAUCCGAUACUCCCGGACUGGAGGCAGGUAGGGGAGAGCGGAAUUCCCGGUGUAGCGGUGAAAUGCGCAGAGUAUCGGGAAGAACACCGGUGGCGAAGGCGGCUCUCGUGGACCUGUCCUGACGCUCAGGCGCGAAAGCUAGGGAGCGAACGAGGAAUUAGAAACCCAGU
rnacentral:rRNA from 1 species